CACGUAGGGUGCGAGCGUUGUCCGGAAUUAUUGGGCGUAAAGAGCUCGUAGGCGGUGUGUCGCGUCGGCCGUGAAAACCUGCAGCUUAACUGUGGGCUUGCGGUCGAUACGGGCAUCACUGGAGUUCGGCAGGGGAGACUGGAAUUCCUGGUGAUAGCGGUGAAAUGCGGCAGACUAGUCAGGAGGGAACACCGGUGGCGGAAGGC
rnacentral:rRNA from 1 species